rnacentral:rRNA from 1 species
CGAACGCUUGGCGGUGUGUCGACCUACUACUAUGACAACGUACGAACGUAACUUUCUACACGUAUUUCUGCUUCACGUAGAAGUUGAGUGGCGGACGGGUGAGUAACACGUGGGUAACCUGCCUAAAAGAAGGGGAUAACACUUGGAAACAGGUGCUAAUACCGUAUAUCUCUAAGGAUCGCAUGAUCCUUAGAUGAAAGAUGGUUCUGCUAUCGCUUUUAGAUGGACCCGCGGCGUAUUAACUAGUUGGUGGGGUAACGGCCUACCAAGGUGAUGAUACGUAGCCGAACUGAGAGGUUGAUCGGCCACAUUGGGACUGAGACACGGCCCAAACUCCUACGGGAGGCAGCAGUAGGGAAUCUUCCACAAUGGACGCAAGUCUGAUGGAGCAACGCCGCGUGAGUGAAGAAGGUCUUCGGAUCGUAAAACUCUGUUGUUAGAGAAGAACACGAGUGAGAGUAACUGUUCAUUCGAUGACGGUAUCUAACCAGCAAGUCACGGCUAACUACGUGCCAGCAGCCGCGGUAA